GAAGUGCGAAUGCUGACAUGAGUAACGAUAAGGGGAGUGAAAAACUCCCCCGCCGGAAAUCCAAGGUUUCCUGUCCCAUGCUAAUCAGGGCAGGGUGAGUCGGCCCCUAAGGCGAGGCAGAAAUGCGUAGUCGAUGGAAAACGGGUUAAUAUUCCCGUACUUGUUUAUGUUGCGAUGGAGGGACGGAGAAGGCUAAUCGGGCCAGGCGUUGGUUGUCCUGGUUUAAGGUAGUAGGCUGGGGUCUUAGGCAAAUCCGGGACCCUAAAGCCGAGAGCCGAUGACGGUGAGAUUACGAUCUCCGAAGUCGAUGAUGCCAUGCUUCCAAGAAAAUCUUCUAAGCUUCAGACAUAAAGAAACCGUACCCCAAACCGACACAGGUGGAUAGGUAGAGAAUACCAAGGCGCUUGAGAGAACUCGGGUGAAGGAACUAGGCAAAAUGGUACCGUAACUUCGGGAGAAGGUACGCCGGUGGCUGUGAUGAGACUUGCUCUCUAAGCGGCCGUCGGUCGAAGAUACUAGGUGGCUGCGACUGUUUAUUAAAAACACAGCACUCUGCAAACUCGUAAGAGGACGUAUAGGGUGUGACGCCUGCCCGGUGCUGGAAGGUUAAUUGAUGCGGUUAGCUUCGGCGAAGCUGUUGAUCGAAGCCCCAGUAAACGGCGGCCGUAACUAUAACGGUCCUAAGGUAGCGAAAUUCCUUGUCGGGUAAGUUCCGACCUGCACGAAUGGCGUAACGAUGGCCACACUGUCUCCACCCGAGACUCAGUGAAAUUGAAAUUGCGGUUAAGAUGCCGUAUACCCGCGGCUAGACGGAAAGACCCCGUGAACCUUUACUACAGCUUCACAGUGAACUUUGAAUUGGCUUGUGUAGGAUAGCUGGGAGGCUUUGAAGUGGUGACGCCAGUUGCCAUGGAGCCAACCUUGAAAUACCAGCCUGGUCAAUUUGGGGUUCUAACUCAGGUCCAUUAUCUGGAUCGAGGACAUUGUGUGGUGGGUAGUUUGACUGGGGCGGUCUCCUCCCAAAGAGUAACGG
rnacentral:rRNA from 1 species